CGAACGCUGGCGGCAGGCUUAACACAUGCAAGUCGAGCGAAGACUUCGGUCUUAGCGGCGGACGGGUGAGUAACGCGUGGGAACAUACCUUUCUCUACGGAACAGUCCUGGGAAACUGGGUUUAAUACCGUAUACGCCCUUCGGGGGAAAGAUUUAUCGGGGAGAGAUUGGCCCGCGUUGGAUUAGGUAGUUGGUGAGGUAAAGGCUCACCAAGCCGACGAUCCAUAGCUGGUUUGAGAGGAUGAUCAGCCACACUGGGACUGAGACACGGCCCAGACUCCUACGGGAGGCAGCAGUGGGGAAUCUUGGACAAUGGGGGAAACCCUGAUCCAGCCAUGCCGCGUGAGUGAUGAAGGUCUUAGGAUCGUAAAACUCUUUCGCUGGGGAAGAUAAUGACGGUACCCAGUAAAGAAACCCCGGCUAACUCC
rnacentral:rRNA from 1 species